UCCACACGCUCCAGACCAGGCCCAGCAGAAAACUGUGGGACAAUCGGCCUAUGCCUCACACUUUUUCGUCCUUGCCCUGUAUAAAACAAACGUGUAUAUGAUUGUAUUGUCCUUGGGGUCUUUUUCAACAACAGAUUGACGCAGCUAAAGGCGUAUUACGCAUGGCGAAGCUUUGGCAAGGCACGGGAGGACGCUGAAAGCCUCACCAUCUCAACUCAUUCAUGAUCUAACAUCGGCUGCCCAACACCUUCCCUGGUGGUCUAGUGGUUAGGAUUCGGCGCUCUCACCGCCGCGGCCCGGGUUCGAUUCCCGGUCAGGGAACUAGCUUUUGGACCAUAGAGGCACUAUCAAUGUGAGAGGAGAGAUAACUUGUCUUGGGGAUCGACAUGGCGCCGGUGUGUCCGUCCUCUGGCCUGUGCAGACUUUCACCAACACCUUCCAUACUCUAACCCGCUGGAGCAAAGGAUUAUGGGGCACGGUGAAGAUGAAAGCUGAAUUAGAGUUGGCAUGUGUUCUGUUAUGACAAAUCUCCAUGGGCCAAUUUUUUACACAGUACUUUAUAAUUUUACAGUACACUAGUAUUUUUAGACCAAACCUAAGCAUUUCUGGUCAUGCCCGAAGCCAUUUGUGUAGGAGUAGCCCCAAUUUAUAGUAUUUAAUAAAACUAAAAUGAUGAGUUAUUGUAAAAUUUGUCCUUCCCUUAAUUUCUUCAAGAUGGGGCUUCAAAUGCUGUAAAACACACUAAACGACCCUAAUCUCCCCCUUGUCAUAUGGAAUCUGUACACAGUUUAAUUAUUUCAGACUAUAAUCUUUAUGGUACUGUCCUGCUAGGAGCCACAAAGUAUAACAUAUUUUACUAUCACACAUAAACAUUAUUACUGCAACAACCAGGUAUAAUCAUCUAUGUUCAUCAGCGCUUUUGGUCUGGUGGUAAAAAUACAACAACAAUCUUAUAUUUUUAUGUAAAAUCACAGAGAUUUGACCCACAGCAGGCCUUGAGUAGAUUUCAAAUCAUUUUUGUCAGACGUCAAACACUGGUAGCUUAGACUACUUCUUCUGAUAACUUCAAGUACACAAUGAAAGCAAGAUGUCACUAUACCUAAACAAUGAAAAAGCAUAUGUCACACAAAUGUUAAGUGAUUAGAGAAGGUAUAAGAUUUGUUUGUAUUCUGUAUUGCACAAUUACUAACCAUUUGGUGGUCCUUGUUCUUUUUAAACAUGUUAUUAUCGCAUUUGAUAUCUUCCCUAAGGCCAAGGUUGUUUCAGUUUCUUUUCUUUUGUGAACCUCUGCCCUUUG